AACGAACGCUGGCGGCAUGCCUAACACAUGCCAGUCGAACGAGACCAUCGGGACUAGUGGCGCACGGGUGCGUAACGCGUGGGAACCUGCCCUUAUGUUCGGAAUACCUCCCCGAAGGGGGUGCUAAUGCCGGAAAAUUUCUUCGAACACAACAUUUAUCCCCUUUGGGUGGGCCGGCGUUGUUUUAGCUUGUUGGGAGGGUAAAAGCCUACGAAGGCGUGGCUCCAUAGCUGGUCUGAGAGGAUGAUCAGCCACACUGGGACUGAGAAACGGCCCAGACUCCUACGGGAGGCAGCAGUGGGGAAUAUUGGACAACGGGGGAAAGCCUGAUCCAGCUAGGGCGGGUGAGUGAUGAAGGCCUUAGGGAAGUAAAGCUCUUUUAUCCGGGAUGAUAAUGACAGUACCGGGAGAAUAAGCACCGGCUAACUCCGUG
rnacentral:rRNA from 1 species